GGGAAAGAAGCUUUCUUAUUCCAUAGCCACCUUAAGAAUAUGUUACCCAACUAAGUACGUGAUUUUCAAAUGUAUCAAGCAAAUAAAGGAAGCCAUAUUUGACAACAUAUAGAUUAGUUAUGUGUCCUCCUAAACACAAGACCUGAUACCAAGAAACCAGUAAAUUGAAAUGCUCUAAGCAAAUAAUAAAGAUUGUUUUCAGUUAAAGAAAGAGAGAGACAGACACACACACACACAGAGAGAGA
rnacentral:misc_RNA from 1 species